UUGUCGUGUCUUUUAUACGCUGUGUCCCAUCAGCGAAGGUGUCGUCUGAACAUAAAUCCCUUCUUAAUCUGGUAGAGGUGUCACUUAUCUCCAUUCGCGUCAUCAUGCUCUAUUUUAAAGUCUUAAAUCUAAGCUAUAAAGACCAAGUUAUGAAACUAUCAACAUGACAUUGGGGCCAUUAUCCGCUGUGAAUAAGAUUCUGCAUCAGUGCCGGCUGUUUCCCUGCCUUCGACGUCUUGAUGUGUGCUGCAGCACUUCCUAUUUUUUCCAAUCACUGCAGCAGAAACUGAGCCACUAUGAGUCUUCUAAUGACUUAUAUCCUCCUGACAGCUUUUAUUUUCACAUCUGCAGACUUCCCCACUAAAUAAAAAGAAUAGGGGGAGAAAAAAGAAAUCCCUUCACCAAAGGUACAGAUGGGAGAAUGCUUAACAAAAACCUUUUUAAGUGCUCCCCAGUCAAAUUAAGGCCAAAUUGUGCCGUACACUGAAGCAGAGGCACAGAAAUAUUAGCUCUGUAGGUUAUUGGUCAGAGCCUCAGUGGGAAAGUGAAGUGACCUUAAUAUGAUGUACUACCUGUACUGCCCACCUCCGAGUUGUCAGCAAACAUUACUUUAAAUUAAGCCUGAUGGACUCCUCCAUACAUUACGGUAAUGUCUGAAUAAGAUGACAUAUUAUAGUUUUCAAUCGCAACCUUUAACGCCGUAAAGAAACUUCAGCUUUAAACCGUUAGAUUUUUAUUUUUUAUUUUCUCCUCUGAGUCCCAACCAGCUGUUUUGUUCAGCCAGUAUAUUUUUUCCCCUGAAUGUUUAAAGAAAGUUCUAAACUCCUAAAGUUUGUCUCUUGUCUACCUGUUUCCCCCAAACCCUGAUUUUUCAAAGGCUUUCAAAAAUUCAUAGCUGGCCUGAGGGUUACAUAAAAGGUCUUGUUUUGGCAAUCUGCUAACAGAAUGAAUUUGAUGAACUGCACACAAACACAAAGGAGGUGCAAAUAAAAAGCUGUAUGUAUAUUUUUUCCUGAGUCAGUGGGAAGAGGCUAGAGAAAGGAUAAAACAUUUAUAUUAUCAGCGCGAGCUGCUCUCAGAUCUCUCUUAACCCUUUAAUAUAAAGCAGGUUGGAUACCAGCAGUAGGGAGUGAGGGGAACAUUUGCCGGCGAAUUCAUGACGACGCAUUAAAAAGAGCCAUGAAAGCUGCCGAGGAGAAAAGACACGGUGUUACAAAAGAAGCCAAAAAAUAUGAUUUUGCUUGAAAUGGUAUAGUGAGACUUUAGGGGGAAAAAAAAACUAAUCAAGAUUCCCAGGACUAUCCGCUCUGAUAUUUUAUUCCUUGUUCGUACAUUACUUCUCUGUUGUUGCCCCCCAGCUAGACCUUGAUGCACUUCUUCAUCUCUGUACAACUUCUCUCCCUUUUCCCUUUUACAAAUAUUUUUUCCAUGAAUAUCCAGAGAGGACAUUGCCACCUGUGGCGGUCUGCUCAUUUGCACUCACCUCACCAAUGAAUUAGUGGGAAAAUGACAAUGUCAUCUACGUAGAGAUGUACAAUAUGAUAUUUUUAACUGACAUUUAUUACAAUUAUUUGGGCGUGAUAGUCAAUUUGUACGAUAUCUGAUACUUUAUAUUUUCUCUUUAUGGAGUGCUGACCUUUAUAUGACCUUUUAUAUGUUGACCCUAAUUAACAAAUAUUCAGAUGCACUUCUGACCAGACUUAAAACAGCAAACAUCAGUUCUAACUCUUCUAUCAACAGUCAGUUUAUUAAGUCUAAAUAGAUCAACAAAGAAAACAGCAGCUCAUAAAAAUCUACAAACCUCUAGAUUUGAAUAAAUUGCUAACCUUUAAUUGUCGACAAUGUCGUCUGCUGUAAAUAGUGUAUUGUUAUGUCUCGGGGUAAUGUUUAUCGGCGCUACAGGUAGAACGUAUGAUAAAAUUAUCCAUUUAUGUUAGUUACUCUUCAACAAGGCAUUGUCAGACCUUUAAAGGAUCACUUACAUUGAGAGUAUAGUGAUUUGCUGUAGGUGAAAAUAAUUGUUUUUUUUAAAAUAUAAGUAUACAUGCAAAGCUGUUGUCAGUGAAGUGAAAGGCCUCAGAUUGGCAGCAGGAGCACGUGACUCUAAAAGCUUUCCUUAAAAAAAGAAGUGGCUGGCAGUCGUGUUGGGGAAAUGUCUUGCUGACCCUGCAAAUGGUUGAGUUAUUUUAAAGCUAAGUACAUAUUGGACGGCCCGUUGUUGCCCCUCCCUCCCCAUCAUCGUCCCUGUGACAUUUGCAGGCACAUAAUGCUGCGCUGCACUGACUUUUCCAGGGACACAUCUAUCCAUCAGUCCCCUCAUCCUACACUCCUCCCCUCUCUUGGUCCACUCUGCUUUCACUUCUUAUUACCUGAGUGAUGGCCAGAGUGGAGAGCCAAAGGAGGUCCAAUCCUCACAAAUCAAUCCUGCUGACGCAUCUUCCUUUUUGACUGUCUCACCCUUCUCUGCUCCUGUCUCUACAGGGACUAGAGAAGCAGAUGUAGGCCAGGUCCCAAUAGUCUUCCUCCCCCUUUCUCACUCCCUCCUCGCCUAUUCCUUCCCUUCAACCUGAGAGGUGAUGGAUAAAAGAUGACACAGUGUAAACAUUUUUAUCAACCUCUCAUCACUGCCUUUAACCUGAUUUGUAAGAGUCCUUCAAAUCAUUCCAAAGUCUAGUUUUUUUAGGAUCAGCAGGUUGACGACUCUUAUCUGUGUUUCUGUGGCAGAGAAACUGCUGUGAGACUCUUUGGUUUUGUUUUUAGAUGCUCGCUCAAAAAUACAGUUAAUGGCAAAUUAAUUCUAAUAUGGUCCAAGGGGAGGAAGUGUGGAGAAAUACAUCAUUUAAAAAUAAAUGUAAACCAAAAGUUGGUCUUUUUAAGCUAAUUAAAAGUUAAACCCAAUUGAAUUUUGUCCCAGUAGCUCAUGGUUAUUUUAAAAAUUAGGCUAAAAUUAUCUUUAUAAUGACUUAGUUGAUCCUAUGGUAGCUAAAUGUUGACAAGUAGAACUACAUUAAAAUGACCUUAGAUACAGCAUUUUUUAAAGACUGAUUAGAAAUGUGUAGAUAAAGAUAAAGACUCACUCAUUUUCAUUAUGAUAUAUGAACAUAUAA